rnacentral:rRNA from 1 species
UACGGAGGGUGCAAGCGUUAUCCGGAUUUACUGGGUUUAAAGGGUGUGUAGGCGGACUAUUAAGUCAGGGGUGAAAUCUCUGGGCUCAACCCAGAAACUGCCUUUGAUACUAUUAGUCUUGAAUCUUGUUGAGGUGGGCGGAACGGGUCAUGUAGCGGUGAAAUGCAUAGAUAUGACCCGGAACACCGAUUGCGAAGGCAGCCCGCUAAGCAAGCAUUGACGCUGAGGCACGAAAAGCGUGGGGGAUCAAAACAGG